UACGGGGGGGGGCAAGCGUUGUUCGGAAUUACUGGGCGUAAAGGGCGCGUAGGCGGCCUAUUAAGUCGGACGUGAAAUCCCUCGGCUCAACCGGGGAACUGCGUCCGAUACUGGCAGGCUUGAAUCCGGGAGAGGGAUGUGGAAUUCCAGGUGUAGCGGUGAAAUGCGCAGAUAUCAGGAAGAACACCUAUGGCGAAGGCAGCACUCUGGGACGGUACUGACGCUGAGACGCGAAAGCGUGGGGAGCGAACAGG
rnacentral:rRNA from 1 species